rnacentral:rRNA from 1 species
GAUGAACGCUGACAGAAUGCUUAGCACAUGCAAGUCAACUUGAACUUCGGUUUGGGUGGCGGACGGGUGAGUAACGCGUAAAGAACUUGCCUCACAGCUAGGGACAACAUUUGGAAACGAAUGCUAAUACCUGAUAUUAUGAUUUUAGGGCAUCCUAGAAUUAUGAAAGCUAUAUGCGCUGUGAGAGAGCUUUGCGUCCCAUUAGCUAGUUGGAGAGGUAACGGCUCACCAAGGCGAUGAUGGGUAGCCGGCCUGAGAGGGUGAACGGCCACAAGGGGACUGAGACACGGCCCUUACUCCUACGGGAGGCGGCAGUGGGGAAUAUUGGACAAUGGACCAAGAGUCUGAUCCAGCAAUUCUGUGUGCACGAUGAAGUUUUUCGGAAUGUAAAGUGCUUUCAGUUGGGAAGAAAAAAAUGACGGUACCAACAGAAGAAGUGACGGCUAAAUACGUG